UCUUGUUUACUUUUGGCAGACAAGUUAUUUGUUUUACUGUUUAUUUUCAUUAGGUGUAAACAGUCAUUUCAACCCUCUGCUGCCUGGGCUUGGUCAACAGUCUCAACACUGAUACUCGGUGUAUACCUAAGUACAGUUCAGUACGGACAGCUGCUCUCACGUCCACAAAAAAAUUAAAAUUACACCAUAUCAUAGAAGCUUCAAGGACCAACAACACAUCUCAGUAUGACUAGUUCAGAGUCAACUACAGUACACAGACACUCCAGGCUCCUAUAUGAUGCCAUUAAAGGCAACUGGUUAAACAUUGCUGACCUGUGGGAGAUGACGCAGGCUAAAAAGAGACACUUUCUACCUUAAUGCUGUAUUUACGAGUUACACGAGGAGGAG